UUUUCCUACGGGACGCAGCAGUGGGGAAUAUUGCACAAUGGGGGAAACCCUGAUGCAGCGACGCCGCGUGAGUGAAGAAGUAUUUCGGUAUGUAAAGCUCUCUCAGCAGGGAAGAAAAAAGACGGUACCUGACUAAGAAGCCCCGGCUAACUACGUGCCAGCAGCCGCGGUAAUACGUAGGGGGCAAGCGUUAUCCGGAUUUACUGGGUGUAAAGGGAGCGUAGACGGUAUGGCAAGUCUGAAGUGAAAGCCCAGGGCUUAACCCUGGGACUGCUUUGGAAACUGUUAGACUAGAGUGCUGGAGG
rnacentral:rRNA from 1 species